GAUAAGGCAUAAGAAUUUCACAAAUCAUCUAAAUUCAACACUCCACAAAAGUCCAAUCUUGACCAAUCAGAAAAGAAAAUCUCAAACAAAUUGAAAAUGGAUAAAAAAAAAUACAAAAAAUCAUGCUCAAACCUAACAUCCAGAAGCAACAACAUGCAAAAAAUCAGAUUAAUUGAAGUUCAUAUGGCCUGGUAAAUAAAAUCAGCAACAUGAACAAGAA
rnacentral:lncRNA from 1 species